UCCAUCGUUUGUGCUUGUG
rnacentral:piRNA from 1 species